rnacentral:tRNA from 1 species
AACUCAGUGGUCUAAUGGUAAAGCGUUCGCCAUAAAGUUAGAUUGUCAUAGGUUCGAUUCCUGACUGGGUUG